rnacentral:rRNA from 1 species
AGCAGUAGCCGCGGGAAAACAGAGGGUGCGAGCGUUAAUCGGAUUUACUGGGCGUAAAGCGUGCGUAGGCGGCUUCUUAAGUCGGAUGUGAAAUCCCUGAGCUUAACUUAGGAAUUGCAUUCGAUACUGGGAAGCUAGAGUAUGGGAGAGGAUGGUAGAAUUCCAGGUGUAGCGGUGAAAUGCGUAGAGAUCUGGAGGAAUACCGAUGGCGAAGGCAGCCAUCUGGCCUAAUACUGACGCUGAGGUACGAAAGCAUGGGGAGCAAACAGGAUUAGAUACCCGUGUAGUCCCUGUCUCUUAUAA